UACGGGGGGAGCAAGCGUUGUUCGGAUUUACUGGGCGUAAAGGGCGCGUAGGCGGCGCAACAAGUCACUUGUGAAAUCUUCGGGCUUAACCCGGAGCGGCCAAGUGAUACUGUCGUGCUAGAGUGCGGAAGGGGCUACUGGAAUUCUCGGUGUAGCGGUGAAAUGCGUAGAUAUCGAGAGGAACACCUGCGGCGAAGGCGGGUAGCUGGGCCGACACUGACGCUGAGGCGCGAAAGCCAGGGGAGCGAACGGG
rnacentral:rRNA from 1 species